rnacentral:tRNA from 1 species
GUCUCAAUAGCUCAGUGGUUAGAGCAUGCGAUUGCAGUUCUGUACUAUCGCGGGGUCGGGUGUUCAAAUCACCCUUGGGACU